rnacentral:rRNA from 1 species
AGUGGCGGACGGGUGAGUAACGCGUGAGAAUCUGCCCUUUGGAUGGGGAUAACGACUGGAAACGGUCGCUAAUACCCAAUAUGCCGAGAGGUGAAACUUAUAUGGCCAGAGGAUGAGCUCGCGUCUGAUUAGCUAGUUGGAGUGGUAACGGCACACCAAGGCGACGAUCAGUAGCUGGUCUGAGAGGAUGAUCAGCCACACUGGGACUGAGACACGGCCCAGACUCCUACGGGAGGCAGCAGUGGGGAAUUUUCCGCAAUGGGCGAAAGCCUGACGGAGCAAGACCGCGUGAGGGAGGAAGGCCUACUGGUUGUAAACCUCUUUUGAUAGGGAAGAAGAAAGUGACGGUACCUAUCGAACCAGCAUCGGCUAACUCCGUGCCAGCAGCCGCGGUAAUACGGAGGAUGCAAGCGUUAUCCGGAAUUAUUGGGCGUAAAGCGUCCGUAGGUGGUUAUUCAAGUCAGCUGUCAAAGGAUGGAGCUUAACUCCAUAAAGGCAGUUGAAACUGUGUAGCUAGAGUGCGAUAGGGGCAAGGGGAAUUCCCAGUGUAGCGGUGAAAUGCGUAGAUAUUGGGAAGAACAUCGGUGGCGAAAGCGCCUUGCUGGGUCUGCACUGACACUGAGGGACGAAAGCUAGGGGAGCGAAAGGGAUUAGAUACCCCUGUAGUCUUAGCUGUAAACGAUGGAUACUAGGCGUUG